rnacentral:rRNA from 1 species
ACCAUGCAAGUCGAGCGGGUGUAGCAAUACAUCAGCGGCAGACGGGUGAGUAACGCGUGGGAACGUACCUUUUGGUUCGGAACAACACAGGGAAACUUGUGCUAAUACCGGAUAAGCCCUUACGGGGAAAGAUUUAUCGCCGAAAGAUCGGCCCGCGUCUGAUUAGCUAGUUGGUGAGGUAAUGGCUCACCAAGGCGACGAUCAGUAGCUGGUCUGAGAGGAUGAUCAGCCACAUUGGGACUGAGACACGGCCCAAACUCCUACGGGAGGCAGCAGUGGGGAAUAUUGGACAAUGGGGGCAACCCUGAUCCAGCCAUGCCGCGUGAGUGAUGAAGGCCCUAGGGUUGUAAAGCUCUUUUGUGCGGGAAGAUAAUGACGGUACCGCAAGAAUAAGCCCCGGCUAACUUCGUGCCAGCAGCCGCGGUAAUACGAAGGGGGCUAGCGUUGCUCGGAAUCACUGGGCGUAAAGGGUGCGUAGGCGGGUUUUUAAGUCAGGGGUGAAAUCCUGGAGCUCAACUCCAGAACUGCCUUUGAUACUGAAGAUCUUGAGUCCGGGAGAGGUGAGUGGAACUGCGAGUGUAGAGGUGAAAUUCGUAGAUAUUCGCAAGAACACCAGUGGCGAAGGCGGCUCACUGGCCCGGUACUGACGCUGAGGCACGAAAGCGUGGGGAGCAAACAGGAUUAGAUACCCUGGUAGUCCACGCCGUAGACGAUGAAUGCCAGCCGUUAGUGGGUUUACUCACUAGUGGCGCAGCUAACGCUUAGCAUCGUCUGGGAGUA